UACAGAGGGGGCAAGCGUUGUUCGGAAUUACUGGGCGUAAAGGGCGCGUAGGCGGCCUGUUAAGUCGAACGUGAAAUCCCCGGGCUCAACCCGGGAACUGCGUCCGAUACUGGCAGGCUUGAAUUCGGGAGAGGGAUGUGGAAUUCCAGGUGUAGCGAUGAAAUGCGUAGAUAUCUGGAGGAACACCGGUGGCGAAGGCGGCCUGCUGGACGAUGACUGACGCUGAGACGCGAAAGCGUGGGGAGCAAACAGG
rnacentral:rRNA from 1 species